AGUGAACGCUGGCGGUAGGCCUAACACAUGCAAGUCGAACGGCAGCACAGUAAGAGCUUGCUCUUACGGGUGGCGAGUGGCGGACGGGUGAGGAAUACAUCGGAAUCUACUUUUUCGUGGGGGAUAACGUAGGGAAACUUACGCUAAUACCACAUACGACCUACGGGUGAAAGCAGGGGAUCUUCGGACCUUGCGCGAUUGAAUGAGCCGAUGUCGGAUUAGCUAGUUGGCGGGGUAAAGGCCCACCAAGGCGACGAUCCGUAGCUGGUCUGAGAGGAUGAUCAGCCACACUGGAACUGAGACACGGUCCAGACUCCUACGGGAGGCAGCAGUGGGGAAUAUUGGACAAUGGGCGCAAGCCUGAUCCAGCUAUACCGCGUGGGUGAAGAAGGCCUUCGGGUUGUAAAGCCCUUUUGUUGGGAAAGAAAAGCAGCAGGUUAAUACCCCGCUGUUCUGACGGUACCCAAAGAAUAAGCACCGGCUAACUUCGUG
rnacentral:rRNA from 1 species